UACGUAGGCAGCGAGCGUUGUUCGGAGUUACUGGGCGUAAAGCGUGUGUAGGCGGUCCACUAAGUCGGGUGUGAAAGCCCUGGGCUCAACCCAGGAAGUGCACUCGAAACUGGCGGGCUAGAGUAUCGGAGAGGUUGGUGGAAUUCUCGGUGUAGAGGUGAAAUUCGUAGAUAUCGAGAGGAACACCGGUGGCGAAGGCGGCCAACUGGACGAAUACUGACGCUGAGACACGAAAGCGUGGGGAGCAAACAGG
rnacentral:rRNA from 1 species